rnacentral:lncRNA from 1 species
GCAAGCUCAAGCAGCCGAGCCCCAAGCCGAGUGAGAUCCGGCAGCUAGACAGAGUGAGGUUGAGAGUACCCGCUGCUGAGCGAGUUUAUCCACGCUUCCUCUUCACCGACAACCUCAUCAGAGCCGGCCUCGUUAACCCUGCCCAGAGUAAGUAUACCUGUCCCCUUCCUUUUUUUUUUUUUUUUUUGCUUUUGCUUGCCGACUGACCCAUUGCCUUUGACCAGUGACGGACGCUAGGAAGGCUGCUGAGGUGAAGUAGAUGAAUGAGUCCUCCAGGAGGCGCCUGAUGAUUGGCCUGGAGGGCAAGAAAAAGAAGAAACAUCCUGAGGCAGCUUCCGUUCGGCAAGCGGUAGUGGAUCCGGAGGAUCAGACUCUCGCUGAGCGUCUUCGGCAGCUUGAUGCCGAGCCUCUUCCGAGGCGCCCUGCUGAUGAAGUCGGCGCACCGAGGCAUCGGGACGCCGAAGCCGCCACCUCCAAGGCUGCCGGCAAACGACCGGAGACGGUCGAUCUGGAGGCCGAGCCAGCCCCCAAGCGUCCUCGCCAGUCGGAGGUUUCCAGGGCCGUCCUUGCGGUGGAGGACGAGGACGGUCCUUCCG